ensembl:misc_RNA Metazoa_SRP Metazoan signal recognition particle RNA
GCCAGGUGCAGGAUCGCACCCCUGUAAUCCCAGCUACUCCAGAGGCUGAGGUGGGAGGAUCGCUUAAGCCCAGGAGUUCUGGGCUGUAGUGCGCUAUGCCAAUAGGGUGUCCGCACUAAGUUGGGCAUCAAUAUGGUGACCUCCCGGGAGCGGAGGACCACCAGGUUGCCUAAGGAGGGGUGAACUGGCCCAGGUCAGAAAUGGAGCAGGUCAAAACUACCCUGCUGAUCAGUAGUGGGAUUGUGCCUGUGAAUAGCCACUGCACUCCAGCCUGGGCAACAUAGCGAGACCCUGUCUCUU